rnacentral:tRNA from 1 species
GCCGGGGUGGCCGAGCGGUCGAAGGCGGCGGGCUGCAGACCCGUUACUAUCCCGGGUUCGAAUCCCGGCCCCGGCUCCA